UAUCAUCUGUUGCCAGCAUUUAAGGUGGGGACUCAGAUGAGACUGCCGGUGACAAACCGGAGGAAGGUGGGGACGGACGUCAAGUCAUCAUGGCCCUUAUGUCCUGGGCUACACACGUGCUACAAUGGCCGGUACAGAGUGAAGCGAAACCGCGAGGUGAAGCAAAACGCAGAAAGCCGGUCUCAGUACGGAUUGGAGUCUGAAACUCGACUUCAUGAAGUUGGAAUCGCUAGUAAUCGCGCAUCAGCAUGGCGCGGUGAAUACGUUCCCGGGCCUU
rnacentral:rRNA from 1 species